rnacentral:misc_RNA from 1 species
UCCGGCUUGACGCCGGCAGUCUCCCGAGAGUCCUCAGCAUCACCUGCUAGUAACACGGGGCAAGGGUUGCGCUCGUUGCGGGACUUAACCCAACAUCUCACGCCACGAGCUGACGACAGCCAUGCAGCACCUGUGUUCGAGUUCCCGAAGGCACCAAUCCAUCUCUGGAAAGUUCUCGACAUGUCAAGGCCAGGUAAGGUUCUUCGCGUUGCAUCGAAUUAAACCACACGCUCCGCUGCUUGUGCGGGCCCCCGUCAAUUCCUUUGAGUUUCGGUCUUGCGACCGUGCUCCCCAGGCGGAGUGUUUCACGCGUUAGCUGGGCCCCUGAUCCACGUAGACCAAGGGCGAACACUCAUCGUUUACGGCAUGGACUAC